ACAGCUACUGCUGCUUACCCAACUUUGUGAAAAUGUGUAUUCUAUCUUAUAAUUCACACAUAGUCUCACGCUUUACUGGGAGGUCACUAGUUUUCAGCUAGACUGGCAGCCAGCAACAUCCAGUGAUCCUACUUUCUUGAAGCCCUCUGCCAGAGCUGGAGUUAUAUACUUGCAGCCAUGCCUAGGAUUUUUAAAAAAUUCCUUUAUAUUUUUGAGAUUAUAGGUACAUCAUUUUCCCCUUCUCUUUCCUCUCUUGAAACUCUCCCUUAUACCUCUCUACCUAUCCUCUUUGAAAUUCAUGACCUCCUUUUCACUAAUUGUUACAAAAGGUCAGUUCAUCUGAACUCAGAGUCCCACACUUGUGCAACCAGUGUGUUACUUGUUAUACACUGAGCCAGCUCCCCAGCAUACAGGCAUUUCUUGAAUGGCUACUAUGUAUCAGGUAUGGAUUAGGCUAAACUUUGAAUGUAGACAACAAAACGAUCAGAAGGUAUACCGCUAAGAACAUCACAGAACGAUAAGAAAGGCAGCCACUGGAAAGACCGACUCAGCAGCAUGUCAGCAUUGCUCUGAGUAUGGCGUGGGCUUUGGAGGAAAGAUUGCAUCAUUUUGUGAAUCAGAGGGGAAGUGAACUUAUCUAGGUGGUUAUCUUUGGAUAUGGCAGAAAAUGUAAUAAUUAAUCUUAAAAUGAGUCAAACGGAGGAUCAUAUUUAUUCCAAGAAAAGGGAGUAAAGUGCAAAGAGGUGGAGGGUUGAGGGUCCCUAACCAGAGCAAGUUUAGCACAUUCAUUAGCUAAACAAAACAGCGUGGGACAGAGUGUUGAGAACCUAGGGAAAGGGAAGCCACACUCUUUCCUCCCACCAUCUCUGCCUUCCUUCCUUUUUUCCUUCCUCCCUUUCGUUGUUGUUAACGCUAUGAGACGCUAUGAGCAAACAUGAGGAUGGAUGGAAAGAUAAAGAAAUGAUGAUGCUUUAGUUUCAAACUAUCAUUAUAGAUGGAGUAUUUAUACAGAAGGAGGAAAGUAAUAGAUUCAGAGUAGUGUAGUGGGAAUGGAAAUAGAUGGGGUGGAAAAAAACAAUUACUGAUUGAUUAAAUAUGGGAAAAGAAAGGGAUGAACAGAAUGCUACCUGCUUUCUAGCUUGUAUCACUUCCUGCCUUAAUACUAUACACUGCCAUCCAAAGCAUGUAGGUAGACCAAACAGGGUUCUAAAAACUCCAUAAAGGUAUAUUCUCAUGGUAUAGAUGGGAUUGCACAGUAUCCAUAUGAGGAAACUUGUACACGGCAAACAAAGGCAACAUGGCUACGAUCACAGAGUCAACAAAUAAUCAAGUAGGAACUUGAAGCCAGGUCUCUCCCAGGAGUCUGCUAUCCUAACCCCCAAAGAUACUGACUAGUCUGAGUUUAGAUACACAUUCGCCUAGCCAUUCAGAUUAGAAUUCUCGGAUUACAGCUUCCUUACACGUGAUGUGUUCCGUAGAUAGUGGUUUGUAAGUAAGAAUUAUACAUGUCACUUCACCCCUUUCUGACAGAUGAUGGGCAUCAGUAAAGCUGUCUCGAACUUACAAAUAAAUGCCAUGAAUGGAAGGGUUGACUGUUUCAAAGCCAUUGAGAAAAUGAAGUCCAGAGAGAUGGGUCAGCUGUUAAAGGCUAGGCUCACAACCAAAAAUGAGAGACAUAAAUAUGCAUUCGAGUUACUUAUUUAUAUCAUGUUAGAGAAAAUUUACUAUAGAAGCUAACUCAUUACCUUCUCUGAGGGUCCAUCUUAAACAACUCUUACGUUUCUGGAGCACAGAAUAAAACAUAAGAUGGAUCAUUCAAUGAUAGACAAAACAUAAGACAGAUACGUUUGGAAAAAGAAAAGCUG
rnacentral:lncRNA from 1 species